rnacentral:rRNA from 1 species
UACGGAGGAUCCAAGCGUUAUCCGGAUUUAUUGGGUUAAAGGGUGCGUAGGUGGUUCUUUAAGUCAGGGGUGAAAGACGGUAGCUUAACUAUCGCAGUGCCUUUGAUACUGAAGAACUUGAAUACACUAGAGGUAGGCGGAAUGUGACAAGUAGCGGUGAAAUGCAUAGAUAUGUCACAGAACACCAAUUGCGAAGGCAGCUCACUACACGAGCAUUGACUCUGAGGCACGAAAGCGUGGGGAUCAAACAGG